GCCGCGGUGCGCACGCGCCGUCCGCGCUGCCGUCGGUUAAAAUCGGGCUGCGUUGGCUCGUGGGUCGGUGCCUAGAUUAGAAGAAAUGCCAGCACCGGCAAAGGGACGAGGAAGAAUCCACAUAUGCAGGAAGUGACAAACACCAGCUAAAGUGGGCAAAGCAGACUCUCUGCCUCUGUCGACCUAUUCACCAUUGCCAUGAAGAUUUAUUAUGGUGAAAAAUGCAAUGCUCUAUUGUGUCAUAGCCUUGGAAAGCCUGGCCUGUGUCUCUAAAUGGUCGUGAUGUUGACUAAAAUGUUUUCUUGGUGUGACUGCCCUCUACCAAAGAGCCAACUCCCUGCAGCGAAGCCUUCUCUUAAUCCUGUUCUAAAACUGGGAAGAUACUGGACUGGAGCUCUGGCCAUCUUGUUUAUACAGGAAGUGCAGAACAACGUGAAGUAGUGCAGAACCAAGAAAUACCGAUAAAGCCAAGUCCUGGUGAUGGUGAGUCCAGAAUGUGGUCCCCUCUGGAGCAGCAUCUCUACAGAUAUAGCCAGGAGCCGUGCUGGAUGACAGUGAUCCUGAAUCCCAGCGACUGGUGUCCAGAACAAUAUUCGAGAACAUCGUUGCAGGCCAGCAGAUAAGCGUGCUCACUCCCGUGAUGUUGUUGGCUCCAUGGAAGGUCACCCAGGGGUUUCCAUUACGAGCGCUCUUGAGCCCAGCACAAUUUUCUCCUACAAUUUAAUCCGCUGCCUGGCCAGCCUCCAGUGCGCUAGCUGCUGACAAUCGCCAGUCUUUGCAAUUGAUUUCCUGGAAGCGGGGCCCAUGCAGCAGCCACGUGACAGAUAAGUGCGAGAGGACGUCUGCUGUGAAUGAGAUCAGAGAUGAGACCUGAGGCUGAAACCACCCUGUCCUGCCACCUCCACGGCCUCCUGUGCCACGCCCAGAGAAACAGCGGACUCAUUGCAUGAGCAAAUGCUUCUUGAGGAUGAGGAAGAGCUUCUCUCCUGGGUUCCUUCCCUGCACUGAGGAUGAAAGCACUUUCCCAGCAAAGCAGCUCCUGGGAUGACCGGAGCUUCCUGGAAGUGGACACACUGGCAAGCUCGUUUUGGACCACUGUGUCCCUGCACUGCAAGGCUCCCUCCAGUGACCCCAGAGUGCCUGUUUCUGGCCACCUCUGGACCUUUGAAUGCUCCUUCUCAAGCCUCACCCACAGAGCUCCUGAUUCAGCACAUCUGGGAGAGAACAUUGCAGCUUUUUCCUGAAUGGUCGCCACGUGGAGCCGGAGUCAUUAGCAUGGCAUCUCCCGCUUGCCGUGACCUGCUGACCACCCUAAGUAGUUAAAAAUGAAAAUGGCCAAGACAGCUGCGAGCCUCAGAAACAAGCUGCCUGGUGGCCCUGCAGCCUGGGGAGAGUCUUCCCUGGAAGCCAUGUCAAGCACGGUAGGAUUUGCCCAAUGGUCUGGAAGAGAACAGAGAUCCAGGAAGGCAAAUGGCCCUCACCAGGAUGACCUCACCAGGCUGUGAGGCUAAGCAGUCCCAUUAACUCCAGGCGGAAUACCCAGGCAGCCUCUGACAACGUGGGGGACUGACAUUAACUGGGAGGUGUCUACCCAGGCACUGUGGCGGUCACGUGACAAGCGUCAGCUCAAGACAUCAUCUGAGCUUAAAACUGUCACCAGAAGCCCUGGAUGAAAAAUACAGCCUCUGAUCCAUGUGCACAGGCAGGAAACCCCUCUCACGCUCUGUACUGAAACCUGUCCGUCAACCUGGGGAAGGAAUCACCACCACAAAAUGUGCUUUUGGCUUGCCAAAGCUUAGCGGUUGCGAGAGCCAGAAACCCAGCUGCCUGGA